ACCGAACUGGUAAACGUUGAAAAGUUUUCAGAUGAACUGUGGGUAGGGGUGAAAGGCCAAUCAAACUGGGAAAUAGCUCGUACUCCCCGAAAUGCAUUUAGGUGCAGCGUUCAGGUAGAGUCUUAUAGAGGUAGAGCUACUGAUUGGGCUAGGGGGCUUCACCGCCUACCAAACCCUGACAAACUCCGAAUGCUAUAAGAUAUACUGAGCAGUGAGGGCAUGGGUGCUAAGGUCCAUGUCCGAGAGGGAAAGAACCCAGACCAUCGGCUAAGGUCCCCAAAUAUACACUAAGUUGAUCAAACGUUGUGCGGUUGCAUAGACAGCUAGGAUGUUGGCUUGGAAGCAGCCAUUCAUUUAAAGAGUGCGUAACAGCUCACUAGUCGAGCGAUCGUGCGUGGAUAAUAAUCGG
rnacentral:rRNA from 1 species